rnacentral:rRNA from 1 species
GACCCAUCAUUUUGCAAGGAAAACAACAUAUAAAACUCUGGACAAUUUCGAAAUCAGGCCAAACAUCUUAAUACAUAUGCAAAAAAAUUCAUUAUUGGCCCAUCAUUGAUUAGAAGAUUUAGAUUGUAGGAACCACUAUUGGUUUGA